rnacentral:rRNA from 1 species
AGUCGAGCGAGUCCGACCUUGCGUCGGACAGCGGCGAACGGCUGAGUAACACGUAGGAACCUACCCCUUUCUGGACCAUAGUCCGCCGAAAGGCGGAGUAAUUGUCCAUAGUAUCCGACGUUAUGUCGGAUUAAAGAGAUUAACUUCUCGGAAAGGGAGGGGCCUGCGGCCUAUCAGGUAGUUGGUAGGGUAACGGCCUACCAAGCCUACGACGGGUAGCUGGCCUUAUGAGGGUGGUCAGCCAGAGGGGGACUGAGACACGGCCCCUACUCCUACGGGAGGCAGCAAUCAGGAAUAGUCGGCAAUGGGCGAAAGCCUGACCGCGCGACGCCGCGUGCGGGAAGAAGCUCUUCAGAGUGUAAACCGCUGUGGUAAGGGAGGAAACCCUCCAAUUUAGGAGGGAUGACAGUACCUUACUAGAAAGGGGCCGCUAACUGCGUGCCAGAAGCGUCGGUAAUACGUGGGCCCCAAACGUUAUCCGGUGUAACUGGGCGUAAAGGGUCGUGUAGGCGGUCUGGUAAGUUUUUGUUUAAAGCCCACGGCUCAACCGUGGACCCGGCAAAAAUACUACCAGACUUGAACAUUCUUUAAGGAGACGGGAACUUGCGGUGGAGUAGUGAAAUGCGUUGAUACCGCAGGGAACACCGAUGGCGAAGGCACGUCUCUUCAAGAAUGUUGACGCUGAGACACGAAAGCUAGGGGAGCGAAAGCAGAUUAGAGACCUGCGUAGUCCUAGCCG